CCUACGGGUGGCUGCAGUGAGGAAUAUUGGUCAAUGGCCGAGAGUCUGAACCAGCCAAGUCGCGUGAAGGAUGACUGCCCUACGGGUUGUAAACCUCUUUUAUAUGGGAGCAAAGCUCAUCACGUGUACCUCUUUGUAAGUACCCUAUGAAUAAGGAUCGGCUAACUCCGUGCCAGCAGCCGCGGUAAUACGGAGGAUCCGAGCGUUAUCCGGAUUUAUUGGGUUUAAAGGGUGCGGAGGCGGACGCUGAAGUCAGUCGUGAAAGUGUGGGGCUCAACCGUAUAAUUGCAGUUUAUACUGGGUGCCUUGAGUGCGGCAGAAGUAGGCGGAAUGCGUGGUGUAGCGGUGAAAUGCAUAGAUAUCACGAAGAACUCCGAUUGCGAAGGCAGCAUACUGGACUGUAACUGACGCUGAUGCUCGAAAGUGUGGGUAUCGAACAGGAUUAGAUACCCGAGUAGUC
rnacentral:rRNA from 1 species